AAAAAGAAUGUGCAGCAAAACUUUUUGAACACUACAGCCACAUGUUCCCACUCAGAGACAUUAUGUGAAUCAACACACUGGGAAUUUUAACCACAGCCUCUUUGUGCCCCAUACACAAUAUUUUAAGGUCAAUUAAUCUGUGUAUUCACACACCCUAUGUGUGGUCUCCUCUCUGCUCUAACCAUACUACUGAUUCUAGUGCCAUGAAUACCUUUUUGUGCUGACAAAAUAUGAUGCACUGACCCUCUUGCAAGGCUGUCACACUGAUGUUUUCCACACAGAGCCAGCUCAUGCAGAGAAACAUCAUUUCAUCGACUUCUGCACCAAAGUGGGCUUCACCUGCUCUGAAAAGUGGUAAUACCAAAUGUCAGAGGAAAUAAUUCCAACAUGCUGUGCCUGCUGCUCUGUAACUGAAGUCUUAAAAGAAGAGUUUGUACAAAGCAUGACCAAAACCCACUUGAAAACACUUUCUACUGCAGAUGUUGCCAUCCAAUGGUAAGGAAAGUAUGUCAGGAAUUCUUUUACCAUCCCAUAUGAUUAUGUGACAAACUUCUAAAUGCAUCUCUCACAGUCAACCCACAACUGCUGAAGCAUGAGAUAAGAAAGAUUAGGUUAGCUGGGAGCAGGCCUAAUUGAGGAGCUGCCAGCAUACUACAGUCAUGAGUUCUGCCAAACAUAUAGCACCAAAAAUUUCUGCUACAUUACCUGAUAUUUACUACAUUCACUGCAUCUGUACAUGCCAACGCAUUGAUUUGCAUUAUAGGAUUUCAGCAAAACAGACCCUUCAAUAGGAACAAUGCUGUAAGCCAGGUGGAGAUAAGGAUUUACAGAGAGGCAAACUUGAAGGUCUAAUGCAAGUGAACAACACCUUUUUGCUCUGUCUUACACAACUUACUGACUAGCACCAGAUGGGUUGAUGUGCCAUGUUCUUUGCUAAGAACAGAAGCAAAAUAUUAGGCCAACUCCUUUAUAGCUUGGUAAGAUGCACUAGGUAAAGAUUCAGGAGAAUGAGGAGAUUCCAGCAUUUACUGUAAACUAAACUUGACAAAAAUGUAAAUUAUAUGGUUGUGAAGCUCAAGGAAUUCAGACUGUGGUCUAUCUAAUAAGAGCCCAUGUAAAAAGAGAUCUGUCAAGGGCAUGUGGGUAAUAAGAGUGGAUACGCACACCAGUUUUUUUUGGUCAAACAGCCAUAAGCUAAUCAGCAA
rnacentral:lncRNA from 14 species